CUUCUGGAUUGCUCAAGUGACUCUCGGCUGCAGCCUCAUCUGUAAGAAGGAACAGGUUUGAAGGAGGUCCCGUCAUUCAUACAAAACCAUGGUGUCAGUCCCGGUGGCAGCAGUGACCCUGCUGGUCUUCCUGGGAUCCUUUGCCACAGCACAAGAUGUGUCCCUAGACAGAGAUUGGAGAGACUGGAAGGAGGCUCAUGGUAGAGAAUACAAAAAGAAGGGGGAAGAGGAAUACCGAAGGAGCAUCUGGGAAUCAAAUGUACAUGUGAUCAGACGUCAUAACCAGGAGGCAUCCCAGGGGAAACACACAUAUCGGCUGGAGAUGAACCAAUUUGGUGACCUU